AGUUUGACUAUAAAGAUUCACAUAUACUGAAUAAAAAACUUUUUUUUUGGUUGCUUGACACCACAUUAUGUAUUAAUAGAUUGCCUUUAAGGAUAGUAAGUAUUGCCGGUAGGUUAUUUUCUUACAUAGGAUAUUUCAUUCAAGCAUUUUUCUUAUUGAGGAAUGUGUUCAUUGAACAUUUUGUGAGUUUAUUUCUCUGUUUUGAUUCAACAAUCUGGUUUGCCAAAAUCUUUUACAUUGGAACAAAAUACACCAGGUGUGUUUUUUAAAUGCAGCGUUUGUAAAUCUCUGAGUCAAGUAAAAUAGCCGUACAAGAGAAUAAUCUGUUUAUUUGCGUUUUAUCUGUGAUUGCCACUUUGUUUUCCUUUUCAUCAAAGCUCACUCUACAUUUAAGAUUGGGCUUUAGUUUUACAGGAUUUAGUUUAUUUUUUGGUAUUUUAGUUUAAUCCAGAAAUGUAUUAUUUUUUCUACGAUCCUGGAUUUUUGGGUGCUGGGCUCCCCUUCAUUUGCCAGAUAUGCCUAAGAUUCAUUAUUGCAUAGUAUUGAACUAAUUUCUGGAA